GUGAAUACUCUGCAUGUCGUGGAUGUAGCUCUUCGCUAGCAGCACCAACAUAAUACGUCGGAGAGACACUGACUUCAUCUUUGUUAGCCCUCCAAGACCGGUUUGAGUGCAGAUGGCCUUUAGGUGCUCGUCAUCUAAUCCAUCAAUCAUUUGCGCGAACCUUAUCGGCGUUCUAACCGUGAUGCGAAUAGGUGGAUGAAGAGGAAGCAGUACCGUCGUAUCGCACAGGCCAGGUGGGUGGUGGCCGCUGGCUCCGAUCCCCUGGGUGGUUGGGUGUGGCUGGCGGCUCCAAUCGCUCCGGUCAGGAGGGCGGCGUUGGCGUUCGAGCUGAAUGCGUGAAGUGUCCACGGAGAGAGUUCGACGCCGGCGACGAGCAUAGAGAGGCGGAUCACGAUGCUGUGGACGGAGCAAAAUUCAGAGAAAACCCAUAAGAUCUCAUGAUGGCUUCAUGCACAGAAACAAGCAGUGACGUCGUAUUCCGCAGGCCGGAUGGGCGGUCGUCGGCGGCUCCGUUCCCGUGGGUGAGGACGGCGGCUCCGUUACAGCCGGUGAACAGGGCGGCGGCGAUGGGACUGGCGUUGGAGGAGAAGGUCGCGUGUGAGAAGGCGGCUGGAAUGGAAUGUGAGUGGAGAAUCGAGUUGCAGCCGGCUAGGCCAGUUGGAUUGGAGGUUGUUGCAGAUAAUGGGGGAGGUGGGAGCGGAGUUUGGGGGUUCGGCUCACCUGCAGGGUUCCCAGCACGGAUUAUUAUGCAGGGCCAAUUAACGAGUGGCACGUGUCCAUGUGGGCCAACAACUAUAAUUAAUUUUGAUUAAUUUUGUUUCCUGCCGUUU